rnacentral:rRNA from 1 species
CAGUCGCCACGGUAAUACGUAGGUGGCAAGCGUUGUCCGGAAUUAUUGGGCGUAAAGCGCGCGCAGGUGGUUUAAUAAGUCUGAUGUGAAAGCCCACGGCUCAACCGUGGAGGGUCAUUGGAAACUGUUAAACUUGAGUGCAGGAGAGAAAAGUGGAAUUCCUAGUGUAGCGGUGAAAUGCGUAGAGAUUAGGAGGAACACCAGUGGCGAAGGCGGCUUUUUGGCCUGUAACUGACACUGAGGCGCGAAAGCGUGGGGAGCAAACAGGAUUAGAUACCCCCGUAGUCCCUGUCUCUUAUAA